CAGGAGGCAGCAGUGGGGAAUUUUCUGCAAUGGGCGAAAGCCUGACAGAGCAAUACCGCGUGAGGGACAUGAAGGCCUGCGGGUUGUAAACCUCUUUUCUCAAGGAAGAAGAUCUGACGUUACUUGAGGAAUAAGCAUCGGCUAACCCUGUGCCAGCAGCCGCGGUAAUACAGGGGAUGCAAGUGUUAUUCGGAAUCAUUGGGCGUAAAGCGUCUGUAGGUGGACAUUUAAGUCUUUUGUUAAAUCUUUGGGCUUAACCUAAAAUGCGCAAAAGAAACUGUUUGUCUUGAGUCAGGGAGAGGUAAAGGGAAUUUCCAGUGGAGCGGUGAAAUGCGUAGAUAUUGGAAGGAACACCAGUGGCGAAGGCACUUUACUGGACCUGUACUGACACUGAGAGACGAAAGCUAGGGGAGCAAACAGGAUUAGAUACCCCGGUAGU
rnacentral:rRNA from 1 species